rnacentral:misc_RNA from 1 species
AGCAGCCGCGGUAAUUCCAGCUCCAAUAGCGUAUAUUAAAGUUGUUGCAGUUAAAAAGCUCGUAGUUGAAUUUCGGGAUCAAUUUGCUGGUCGGAACCUCUGGUACGUACUGGUAUUAUUGAUUUCUUUCAUUCUGAUAGAUCAUGGAUGUCAUUAAUUUGAUGACUUUGAGGAAUCGGAACUUUUACUUUGAAAAAAUUAGAGUGUUUAAAGCAGGCUUAUCAGGCUUGAAUACAUUAGCAUGGAAUAAUGAAAUAGGACGAUUGAUCCUAUUUUUGUUGGUUUCUAGGAUUGACGUAAUGAUUAAUAGGGAUAGUUGGGGGCAUUAGUAUUCAAUUGUCAGAGGUGAAAUUCUUGGAUUUAUUGAAGACUAACUACUGCGAAAGCAUUUGCCAAGGAUGUUUUCAUUAAUCAAGAACGAAAGUUAGGGGAUCGAAGACGAUCAGAUACCGUCGUAGUCUUAACCAUAAACUAUGCCGACUAGGGAUCGGAUGAUGUUAAUUUUUUUAAUGUA